GAAACAGAUGAACCAACUUUAUGUUUACACCAGCCUCAAUCUCAAGACAUCUCAUUAUGGAUAUGCAACUAUUCCAAAGCCUGGAACAUUCCACAGCCUAGACCAUUUCUGAUCCCAAGCACGUAGUCGAAGGGAAUGCCAGCCUUUGCUAUAUGCAUUGAAUAAAAGGUUUGGAGAUGAUUAAGACCACAGACAUCCAGUGCCAAACUGGGAGCUGCUACCAGGGGGCCUCUGCUGGCAUUCUCUCUGAGACCCUACUGCCCUGCCUUGAGUUUCACCAAUUCUGUGAGGACAAGGAGAGGAAAGGCCUGCUCAUAGCCACUGGCCUUGAGAGCUGGCCCAUCUUUCUGUGACAUCAUAAUUGGAGCGGCAGCCUGCAGCUCUGAGCUGGCAACCCUCAGGGCCAGUCUUGCUUCCACACUGUCCAGCACCUCUCCCUCCUACCCACCUUGUGAGCUGGUGACUCAGUGCCAUGGUGAGCACUGACUGACAGGCAGCCAGUAUCUGCUUGAGGCCCAGGCUCACCAGGAGAUUAACCCGGCAGGCUGCAGUGAGAAGGGACAGAGACGACUCUGACAGGAGGCCCAGGAUGCAAGGGAAGGCCAAACAAAUCUACCUGCUUAAGGAAGACUCUUCCUCUGACGGCCACCUUGAGACUCUGUCCAGCAGAAAUCUCUGGCAAGUGUUAUCCCAGCCACUCAUGUGGCACUGGGCCGUCUAUGACUUCCUGAUGACAUUAUUCUACAUCAUUUUGUUCACAGUGCUGUUUGACAAUUUUGUGUGACCCUCUCUCGCACUCCGAAUAAACCUUAGCAAAGGAUGGAGUGCUUUCCGUAUGUGUCUGUCCAGACUGGCUUCUCACCGCCCUCUGUGAAGGGCCGGCCAGGCUGCUGUUCACUAAGUUUUGGACUGUAGAUAAGAAAAUAAAAAAAUAAAAAUAAA